rnacentral:rRNA from 1 species
GACAAACAGGUCAAGUUAAAAUUAAGAUAGUAAAAAAGGAGGUUAAUAAUUGAAAUUAUGGAAAAUAAUGUUUUUUAGAGAGGUAGAAUUUGUAUAAAAAGAGGUAAUUUAGGUUUUUCUUUUUUUGAGGCCUCGAAAUUUUGUUAUGAGACCGGGAUUAGAUACCCCGUUAUUCGAAAUGUAAACUUUAAUUGUUGUUUAUGAUUUACUUGAGUACUACGAGAAGUUAAGAGAGAUAUCUUAUAUGGUUCUUAAAACUCAAAAAACUUGGCGGUGCCUUAUAUCCUUCCAGGGGAACCUGUCCUGUAAUCGAUGGUCCACGAUUUAACUUUCUUUCUUUUGAAUUAAAAUAAUCAGCUUGUAUACCGUCGUCGUCGGAUUACCUUUAAGAGUUAUGGAGUUGUCAAUAAGAGAUUGGAGAUGGGAUCUAAGUUGUUUAUAUAUGAUUUAGGUUUAAUUUCAGGUUCUAGACGUCAGAUCAAGGUGCAGUCUAUAAGAAAGUAGAGAUGGGUUACAAUAAUGAAUUAUUAUUACGAAUUUUUUGUUGUAAUUAGCAAAAUUGAAGGAGGACUUGGAAGUAAUUAGUUAAGAUAAGAGAGUUUAAAUGAAAGUAGGUUCUGAGGUGCGC